GUUCUUCUUCUUCUUUUAAUUCUUCUUCUUUUAAUUCUUGUUCUUCUUUCUUCUUAGUAGUGUGAGUAGGAGUAGGAGUCUCGCUCAUCUUCUUCUUCUUUUGUCUCCUCUAGAGAAGAGAGAAGAACAAGAAGAGAGACUUUUUCUGUUGUUUCACUCAGACAGAAGAAAGAAAGAAAGA
rnacentral:ribozyme from 1 species